rnacentral:rRNA from 1 species
CCUACGGGAGGCAGCAGUGAGGAAUAUUGGUCAAUGGCCGGAAGUCUGAACCAGCCAAGCCGCGUGAAGGACGAAGGUGCCAAGCAUUGUAAACUUCUUUUGUCAAGGGACAAAAUCAGGCUCGAGAGCCUGACCGAGGGUACUUGAAGAAAAAGCAUCGGCUAACUCCGUGCCAGCAGCCGCGGUAAUACGGAGGAUGCGAGCGUUAUCCGGAUUUAUUGGGUUUAAAGGGUGCGUAGGCGGGCUGUUAAGUCAGCGGUAAAAUCCCGGGGCUCAACCCCGGAGAGCCGUUGAUACUGGUCGUCUUGAGAUGUGGUGCGGUAUGCGGAAUG